rnacentral:rRNA from 1 species
CAGCGGAAAGCCGGUAACCCAGUUUUAUGGCAUCAGAGACGAAAGCUAGGGUAGCAAAUCAGAUUAGAGACCUGGGUAGUCCUAGCCGUAAACGAUUUCCGUUAAUUCUUUUUGAUUUAUCGGGGAGGGAUGUAAGCUAACGCGUAAACGGACCGCCUGGGGAGUAUAGCCGCAAGGCCGAAACUCAAACGAAUUGGCGGGGAGCUGCACAACCAGUGGAGCAUGUGGUUCAAUUCGAUACGAAGCGAUGAACCUUACCCGGGUUUGAAAUGUACCUGCACGGCCCCAGAAACGGGGCAAGCCUUAGAGGGUGGUACACAGCUGUUGCAUGGCUGUCGUCAGCUCGUGACGUGAGUUGUUCUCUUAAGUGAGGUAACGAGCGCAACCCCCAUUCUGUGUUACUAUGUCACAGAAGACUGCCCAGCAUUAUUUUGUUGGGAGGAAGGAGGGGACGACGUCAAGUCAUCAUGAUGCUUAUAUCCGGGGCUACACACAUCCUACAAUGGGUGGUACAGAGGGUCGCAAUACCGCGAGGUGGAGCUAAUCCUUAAAACCUCCCUCAGUUGGGAUUGCAGGCUGAAACUCGCCUGCAUGAACUUGGAAUUGGUAGUAAUCGCAAAUCAGCAGAUUGCGGUGAAUACGUUCUCGCCUCUUGCACACACUGCCCGUCAAAUCAGCAAAGUUGGGGGUACCCAAAGUCUUACCUCGUGUAGGACCAAGGUAAAUCCAGCGAUGAGGGUUAAGUCGUAACAAGGUAACCGUAA